GCCGGUGUGGCUCAGUGGUGAGAGCGUCGGCCCGCACACCGAAGGGUCACUGGUCUGAUUCCCAGUCAAGGGCA
rnacentral:tRNA from 1 species